UACGUAGGGACCAAGCGUUGUUCGGAUUUACUGGGCGUAAAGGGCGCGUAGGCGGCUUAACAAGUCACUUGUGAAAUCUCCGGGCUUAACUCGGAACGGCCAAGUGAAACUGUCAAGCUAGAGUGCGGAAGGGGCAAUCGGAAUUCUUGGUGUAGCGGUGAAAUGCGUAGAUAUCAAGAGGAACACCUGAGGUGAAGACGGGUUGCUGGGCCGACACUGACGCUGAUGCGCGAAAGCUAGGGGAGCGAACGGG
rnacentral:rRNA from 1 species